rnacentral:rRNA from 1 species
UACGUAGGUGGCAAGCGUUGUCCGGAAUUAUUGGGCGUAAAGCGCGCGCAGGCGGUUCUUUAAGUCUGAUGUGAAAGCCCACGGCUCAACCGUGGAGGGUCAUUGGAAACUGGAGAACUUGAGUACAGAAGAGGAAAGCGGAAUUCCACGUGUAGCGGUGAAAUGCGUAGAGAUGUGGAGGAACACCAGUGGCGAAGGCGGCUUUCUGGUCUGUAACUGACGCUGAGGCGCGAAAGCGUGGGGAGCGAACAGGA